rnacentral:rRNA from 1 species
CCUACGGGUGGCAGCAGUGGAGAAUAUUUCGCAAUGGGCGAAAGCCUGACCCAGCAACGCCGCGUGAAGGAAGGAGGCUUUCGGGUUUUAAACUUCUUGUGACAGGGGAGAGCAGAAGACGGUACCUGUCGAAUAAGCCACGGCUAACUACGUGCCAGCAGCCGCGGUAAUACGUAGGUGGCAAGCGUUGUCCGGAUUUACUGGGUGUAAAGGGCGUGUAACCGGGCUGACAAGUCAGAUGUGAAAUCCGGGGGCUCAAACCCCGAACUGCAUGUGAAACUGUUGGUCUUGAGUAGCGGAGGGGCAGGCGGAAUUCCUAGUGUAGCGGUGAAAUGCGUAGAUAUUAGGAGGAACACCAGUGGCGAAGGCGGGUUGCUGGACGACAACUGACGGUGAGGCGCGAAAGCGUGGGGAGCAAACAGGAUUAGAUACCCCAGUAGUC